rnacentral:tRNA from 2 species
GCCCAUGUAGCUCAGUUGGUAGAGCACAUCCUUGGUAAGGAUGAGGUCAUCAGUUCAAUCCUGAUCAUGGGCUCCA